rnacentral:rRNA from 1 species
AUUGAACGCUGGCGGCAUGCCUUACACAUGCAAGUCGAACGGUAACAGGUCUUCGGAUGCUGACGAGUGGCGAACGGGUGAGUAAUACAUCGGAACGUGCCUAGUAGUGGGGGAUAACUACUCGAAAGAGUGGCUAAUACCGCAUGAGAUCUACGGAUGAAAGCAGGGGAUCGCAAGACCUUGUGCUACUAGAGCGGCCGAUGGCAGAUUAGGUAGGUGGUGGGAUAAAAGCUUACCAAGCCGACGAUCUGUAGCUGGUCUGAGAGGACGAUCAGCCACACUGGGACUGAGAAACGGCCCAGACUCCUCCGGGAGGCAGCAGUGGGGAAGUUUGGACAAUGGGCGCAAGCCUGAUCCAGCAAUGCCGCGUGCAGGAUGAAGGCCUUCGGGUUGUAAACUGCUUUUGUACGGAGCGAAAAGCCCCGGGUUAAUACCCUGGGGUCAUGACGGUACCGUAAGAAUAAGCACCGGCUAACUACGUGCCAGCCGCCGCCGUAA